UGAACGCUGGCGGUAGGCCUAACACAUGCAAGUCGACCGGCAGCACAGGAGAGCUUGCUCUCUAGGUGGCGAGUGGCGGACGGGUGAGGAAUACAUCGGAAUCUGCCCAGUCGUGGGGGAUAACGUAGGGAAACUUACGCUAAUACCGCAUACGACCUUCGGGUGAAAGAGGGGGAUCGCAAGACCUCUCGCGAUUGGAUGAGCCGAUGUCGGAUUAGCUAGUUAGCGGGGUAAUGGCCCACCAAGGCGACGAUCCGUAGCUGGUCUGAGAGGAUGAUCAGCCACACUGGAACUGAGACACGGUCCAGACUCCUACGGGAGGCAGCAGUGGGGAAUAUUGGACAAUGGGCGCAAGCCUGAUCCAGCCAUACCGCGUGGGUGAAGAAGGCCUUCGGGUUGUAAAGCCCUUUUGUUGGGAAAGAAAUCUUUCAGGCUAAUACCCUGGGAGGAUGACGGCACCCAAAGAAUAAGCACCGGCUAACUUCGU
rnacentral:rRNA from 1 species